CGGGGCUUAAAGUCUUGUAAUUGGAAUGAUGGGAAUUUAAACCUCUUCCAGAGUAUCAAUUGGAGGGCAAGUCUGGUGCCAGCAGCCGCGGUAAUUCCAGCUCCAAUAGCGUAUAUUAAAAUUGUUGCAGUUAAAAGGCUCGUAGUUGAAUUUCUGCUGCAUUGCUUGUGUCCCUCUGGGGUCUGUGCAUGUGGCUUUUUUCGGACGGAGUUUCUUUGUCUGAAUGUUUACUUUGAGAAAAUUAGAGUGCUCAAAGCAGGCUUUCGCCUUGAAUAGUUUAGCAUGGAAUAAUAAAGUAGGACUUUGGUUCUAUUUUGUUGGUUUUAGGUACCAAAGUAAUGGUUAAUAGGAACAGUUGGGGGCAUUCGUAUUUAACUGUCAGAGGUGAAAUUCUUAGAUUUGUUAAAGACGAACUACUGCGAAAGCAUUUGCCAAGGAUGUUUUCAUUAAUCAAGAAC
rnacentral:rRNA from 1 species